AACGAACGCUGGCGGCAUGCCUAACACAUGCAAGUCGAACGAAACCUUCGGGUCUAGUGGCGCACGGGUGCGUAACGCGUGGGGACCUGCCUUUAGGUUCGGAAUAACUCAGAGAAAUUUGAGCUAAUACCGGAUGAUGUCUUCCGACCAAAGAUUUAUCGCCUUUGGAUGGGCCGGCGUUGGAUUAGCUUGUUGGUGGGGUAAAGGCCUACCAAGGCGUGGAUAGAUAGCUGGUCUGAGAGGAUGAUCAGCCACACUGGGACUGAGACACGGCCCAGACUACUACGGGAGGGAGCAGUGGGGGAUAAUGGACAAUGGGCGAAAGCAUGAACCAGCAAUGACGGGUGAGUGAUGAAGGCUGUAGGGUAGUAAAGCUAUUUUACACGAGAUGAUAAUGACAGUAGCGGGAGAAUAAGCACCGGCUAACUCCGUG
rnacentral:rRNA from 1 species